CGCAGGGGUGCCGCAUUGAUUGAGGCUGAGACAGAGUAUUUCACUCUGAACCCUUUGACCUGAUACGGAUAAUGCCGUCGUAGGAAGUUUUUUAU
rnacentral:ncRNA from 1 species